rnacentral:rRNA from 1 species
GACGAACGCUGGCGGCGCGCCUAACACAUGCAAGUCGAACGAGGGAGAGAGAGCUUGCUUUCUCGAGCGAGUGGCGAACGGGUGAGUAACGCGUGAGGAACCUGCCUCAAAGAGGGGGACAACAGUUGGAAACGACUGCUAAUACCGCAUAAGCCCACGGGUCGGCAUCGACCAGAGGGAAAAGGAGCAAUCCGCUUUGAGAUGGCCUGGCGUCCGAUUAGCUAGUUGGUAAGGGAACGGCCCACCAAGGCAACGAUCGGUAGCCGGACUGAGAGGUUGAGCGGCCACAUUGGGACUGAGACACGGCCCAGACUCCUACGGGAGGCAGCAGUGGGGAAUAUUGCACAAUGGGGGAAACCCUGAUGCAGCGACGCUGCGUGGAGGAAGAAGGUCUUCGGAUUGUAAACUCCUGUUGUUGAGGAAGAUAAUGACGGUACUCAACAAGGAAGUGACGGCUAACUACGUGCCAGCCGCCGCGGUAACAC